rnacentral:SRP_RNA from 1 species
CGGUAGGCCCUGUACGAUUGGAUACCGUGAACCAUGUCAGGCGGGGAACCGAGCAGCAUUAAUCGUGUCAUCUGAUGCGAUACAGUAAGUCUGCCGUUC